GAUGAACGCUGGCGGCGUGCCUAAUACAUGCAAGUCGAGCGAACAGACGAGGAGCUUGCUCCUCUGACGUUAGCGGCGGACGGGUGAGUAACACGUGGAUAACCUACCUAUAAGACUGGGAUAACCUCGGGAAACCGGAGCUAAUACCGGAUAAUAUAUUGAACCGCAUGGUUCAAUAGUGAAAGACGGUUUUGCUGUCACUUAUAGAUGGAUCCGCGCCGCAUUAGCUAGUUGGUAAGGUAACGGCUUACCAAGGCGACGAUGCGUAGCCGACCUGAGAGGGUGAUCGGCCACACUGGAACUGAGACACGGUCCAGACUCCUACGGGAGGCAGCAGUAGGGAAUCUUCCGCAAUGGGCGAAAGCCUGACGGAGCAACGCCGCGUGAGUGAUGAAGGUCUUCGGAUCGUAAAACUCUGUUAUUAGGGAAGAACAAAUGUGUAAGUAACUAUGCACGUCUUGACGGUACCUAAUCAGAAAGCCACGGCUAACUACGUG
rnacentral:rRNA from 1 species